rnacentral:misc_RNA from 1 species
GAUGAAGAACGCAGCGAAAUGCGAUACUUGGUGUGAAUUGCAGAAUUCCGUGAACCAUCGAGUCUUUGAACGCAAGUUGCGCCCGAAGCCAUUAGGCCGAGGGCACGCCUGCCUGGGCGUCACACGUCGUUGCCCCCCCAUCUACUCCUUCGGGAUUGCGGGGGGCGGAUGAUGGCCUCCCGUGCGCCUCGUCGCGCGGUUGGCAUAAAUGCCAAGUCCUCGGCGACACACGCCACGACAAUCGGUGGUUGCGAAACCUCGGUUGCCCGUCGUGUGCGGUCGUCGCGCAUCGAGGGCUCGAAAAAAUUGCCGGGCUCCGGCUCGGCUUUCAACGCGACCCCAGGUCAGGCGGGGUUACCCGCUGAAUUUAAGCAUAUCAAUAAGCGGAGGA